rnacentral:lncRNA from 1 species
GCUCAUUGCACACCACCUCCUUUCCUGGGAGUGGAGAAGCCCCAGCCAGAACCCUUGCCUUCCCCAAGAGGCACGCUCAGAGGGACAUUCUGCCCUUCCUCACUGCCCCUAGAGCCAACAUCACACCUGGCUUUGGGGCCCUAGAACCUCAGCCCGCGCCCCUCCCCUUCCACCCCCAGCCAUCCCUGCUCUGUGCCCAGUGAUCUUGGGGUCACCACAACCCCAUGGCGCCUUGAGGCCUCACCUUUCCUGGCCUCUCAGCAUCCUGGGACACUGAUGGUCAUGCCUUCCUUCUAGAAAGUUCUCUCCGAGGCUGUGGCUUCCAGGAUGAGCACUCUCCUCCUCCCACUUCCUCCCCUUCUCCUUCCCCCUCCUCCCUUCUCCCUGGAGAGGUCUUUCUCCAAGCCCCAGUCUUCCUCCCCACCCGGUGCCCCUCCCGCUGACAUUUGUCUGCAGUGCCUGUCUCCGCUCCCGCUAGGAAGCCUCCCCUCCGGCAUCUCCAAUCCAUCUCUGGGUCCUGCUCCACCUGCAUUUCCCUAGACCUGUCCUGGCCACCCUCACCCUGGGACACCUCCUGCCCGUGGAGAGCUCCUCUGAUAGGUGCCGUCCUUGGUCUUGGGGGUCCUUUCUCCCUAAUUCUACUUCUGUUUUGGGGGCGUGGGAACCCAGGGUCUUAACCCCAGCCAUUCCCCCUCCCAGGGGCCACUUCCCUCUGAAGCUUAGCCCAGCUCUGUGACCCCCACAGGCCUGCCCCCACCUGGUCCUCACUCCCCUGCAUAGCCACACUGUGGGGGCUCCAUGCUUCCCAGCCCAUAGGAAGCCCUGUUCCCAGAGGGGGCCAUUCUGUUUUAGUUGGAGCAGUGGCCAGAGGCAAAGGUCAGAAGGCAAAGGUCAUAAAAGUUUGUCUCUACCUGCCAGCAUCUGCCCCUGCUACCGCAUCUUCUCCCCUCUCCACCCAAACCCUCCCUCAGCUCCUGCCUCCACCUCUCCAGAGGCACAGACAACAGGGUUCUGAUCUUGGGUCAUGGUGCUCCCCCUGCCAGCCUCAGUCCGAGACCUCUGUGAAUGGGGGUGAUGGCUAAUGGGAUGAGGGGACCACCUCCUGGUGGCUGCAGGGACUGGGGUGAGGGUGCUGUAGGCUCUGCCUAAGUCAAGUGCCAUGGGGCUGAAGAGACGGCGCACCGGCCCUGGAGAAGAGUCCUCCCUGCCCUCCUGUGUCUGGCCUUGUUUCCUGGAGGACAGGUCCCCACGGGGCAGAGACCCAGCAGUCCCAGGUUCCUUAGCCUCUGCCACCUCCAGGCCAUGUCUGCUAACCCUGUCUGCCUUCAGCAAGCUUCGUUUUACCUGGGUAGGGUUCUUAGCCUCCGCCACCCCCAGGCGAUGUCUGCUAACCCUGCCUGCCCUCAGCAAGCUUCCUGUUUCCUGGGUUUAGCCAGAAUCCUCCAGACAGGUGUUUCGUGCCAGUAAGUUUCCACCCACUGACCCCGCCCUGCUCCUCAGAUCUAAAUCCCCACUUGCCUGUGCCACAUUGAGAGUUGAGCCCAGGUCUAUACUAAAAUCUUUUUUCCCCUAUUACCAUAGUCCUGAACAAAAUAUGUGUUUCAACUGCUAUCCAGUUCUGGUUUCCCUUGACAUUG